UGGGGAAUUUUGGACAAUGGGCGAAAGCCUGAUCCAGCAAUGCCGCGUGUGUGAAGAAGGCCUUCGGGUUGUAAAGCACUUUUGUCCGGAAAGAAAUCCUUGGCUCUAAUACAGUCGGGGGAUGACGGUACCGGAAGAAUAAGCACCGGCUAACUACGUGCCAGCAGCCGCGGUAAUACGUAGGGUGCAAGCGUUAAUCGGAAUUACUGGGCGUAAAGCGUGCGCAGGCGGUUUGCUAAGACCGAUGUGAAAUCCCCGGGCUCAACCUGGGAACUGCAUUGGUGACUGGCAGGCUAGAGUAUGGCAGAGGGGGGUAGAAUUCCACGUGUAGCAGUGAAAUGCGUAGAGAUGUGGAGGAAUACCGAUGGCGAAGGCAGCCCCCUGGGCCAAUACUGACGCUCAUGCACGAAAGCGUGGGGAGCAAACAGGAUUAGAUACCCUGGUAGUCCACGCCCUAAACGAUGUCAACUAGUUGUUGGGGAUUCAUUUCCUAGUAACGUAGCUAACGCGUGAAGUUGACCGCCUGGGGAGUACGGUCGCAAGAUUAAAACUCAAA
rnacentral:rRNA from 1 species